UACAGAGGGUGCGAGCGUUAAUCGGAAUUACUGGGCGUAAAGCGCGCGUAGGCGGCUUUGCAAGUCGGGUGUGAAAUCCCCAGGCUCAACCUGGGAACUGCAUUCGAGACUGCAUUGCUAGAGUACGGAAGAGGCGAGUGGAAUUCCUGGUGUAGCGGUGGAAUGCGCAGAUAUCAGGAGGAACACCAAUAGCGAAGGCAGCUCGCUGGGACGUUACUGACACUGAGGCGCGAAAGCGUGGGGAGCGAACAGG
rnacentral:rRNA from 1 species